rnacentral:rRNA from 1 species
CCAUGCCGCGUGCAGGAAGACGGCCUACGGGUUGUAAACUGCUUUUGUGUGGGAAGAAAACGCUCUACGUGUAGGGCACUGACGGUACCAUAUGAAUAAGCAUCGGCUAACUCCGUGCCAGCAGCCGCGGUAAUACGGAGGAUGCGAGCGUUAUCCGGAUUUAUUAGGUUUAAAGGGUGCGUAGGCGGACGAUUAAGUCAGUGGUGAAAUCUCACAGCUUAACUGUGAAACUGCCAUAGAUACUGGUUGUCUUGAGUACAGUUGAAGUAGGCGGAAUGUGUAAUGUAGCGGUGAAAUGCUUAGAUAUUACACAGAACACCGAUUGCGAAGGCAGCUUGCUAAGCUGUUACUGACGCUGAUGCACGAAAGCGUGGGGAGCGAACAGGAUUAGAUCCCUGGUA